rnacentral:misc_RNA from 1 species
GAUGAAGAACGUAGCGAAAUGCGAUACUUGGUGUGAAUUGCAGAAUCCCGUGAACCAUUGAGUCUUUGAACGCAAGUUGCGCCUCAAGCCAUUAGGUUGAGGGCACGUCUGCCUGGGCGUCACAUAUCGUUGCCUGAUGCCAGUUUCCUCGUGAUGGGUGACUGUGCAGGGCGAAUGAUGGCUUCCCGUGAGCAUUGUUGCCUCAUGGUUGGUUGAAAAUUGAGUCCUUGGUAGGGAGCGCCGUGAUAGAUGGUGGUUGAGUGACGAACGAGACCCAAUCAUGUGAGACCCCUACCGAAUUUGGCCUUCAUGACCCACAUGCGUCUUUGGAACGCUCAUGACGAGACCUCAGGUCAGGCGGGGCUACCCGCUGAGUUUAAGCAUAUCAAUAAGCGGAGGA